AUUACCAUUUACCUACUAGACUCAUAUCCCUAUCAAAUACUCAAAUGUACUUGAUUUGACUCAGAAUCGAAAUCAAACCUUAGAAUUAGACAAACAGCCAGACAGGAACUGUGAAGCUAGUAGUGAAUUCAGCGCAGUGCAUGUGAGAGCCAGGGAGCUGUUGAGGCACAGGGUAAUGUCCAGAGCAGGAUAUUGGCUCCAUGAGUUCAUCUGACCGUGGCUGGGGUGAGUGUGUGAGUGAUUAAUGCCUGGGGCUGCUGGGUGAUGUGCUGCAGUGAGCGCAGAGGAAGGAAGGAAGAGAGGAGGGAGAGGGAACGUGGAUGGAACAGCGAACCACAAAAACAUCUCUUUGAUCUCUGGGGGUCAGCAGGAAGUGUGUCCAGGAUGAAAGAGAAGGAAGCUUUGGGCAAUGGAGGAAUCCCCAAGAAAAGCAAUGGAAUUUGCUGCAACAGUCCCUGGCUAAAAGGAGAUGAGCAGAAACAUUAUGCUGGCAGGAAAAUGCUCAAGGAUGUAAUUAGCAACAGUGAUAAAAGAACAGGCAUGGAAACAUGAAAUUAAAUGGAGCUAAGUAUGCAAACCUGCUCUUGCAGUAGGUCACUCAGUGAUUUUUAAGACAAAUGUGAGUGGGCAGUAUCAGCUUUAUUCUUAAUUUUAUAUUCAUCUGCUGGUCCUCACAGCAAAUACUCUGGCCUGUGUUUUCAAAAAUCCCACAUCUGUGGCAGAUUGGCACUAGGGGGGUGUGGGGACUUUGGGGUCCAAGGUGUUUGUCUGUCCUGGCAGUCAGUCCUGCCUCCAGCACAGCAGUGGGGGCUUGUGCCUGCUGAGGUGCUCUGUGACACCUGAGCAGCAAUUUUCUAACCUUCCCCCUUAGAUGAAGCCAGGAGCCACCUUCAUGCUUUAGUUUCAGAUCACAGCUGACAAAGCAGUUUCUCUUUUAUGUAUUUUUCUAGUUUAGUUUUUCAGACGAUUUUUAAAAAUUGAAAUUUAUAGUUGAGCUUAUCUUUGAAAAAACUGCUUGGAAUUCUUCAUAGCAGUCAAGUUGUUUUCCAGCAUUUCUUUAACUAUUUUUAAAUUGAUUUGUCUCGCUAGUAAAUAUCAGUGAUUUAAGAUUUAUGAUUUUUUUUUCUUCAUUUAAAUGUUUCUCCUAGGAUUAAGCUUGAGAUAAAUUUUUUCAUGUUGCUGCCCACUACUUGCAUUCAUGGGUAAAUUAAACUGUCUGGUUCCUUGUCACUGAUUUUUCAAAUGCUAGUAAUUAAAAUGGGAGAAGUAUUUUUAAUGCCAAAGAUUAAACAGAUGUUGGUGGAUAUAUUAGGUUUUGACAAAAGUUUGGCAGGUAAAAUAUAAAGUAAGAAUAGCAUUCCUAUAUUAUUUAUUUUUAAUUUUAGCUUUACUGGCCUUUCAAGUGUGCUCAAAAGCGAGAUGGAUUAUUAAAAUGUUUGCCACAGUCUAUUCUCAUACAUCCCUAAAACAGGAACAUGUGAGAUGAGGAACUCAUCAUCUGGAGAGAUGUGUGUAAUGGCUGAUAUCAAACACUGCUCACCCAUCCUCAGUGAUCACAACCCCCUGAGAGCUCUCCCCAGUUCAUUAUAUCAGCUGAAAUUAUUCUCUUCCUGCUAUGAUCCGCCUGCUUUGGUAUUUUGUCUCUCCUGACCCUGAAGCUCAUUCCUUACGCUGAUUAAUGUCUUCAUAUGGUCCUGAAACUCACUGCCCUGCAUGUCUGCCCCUGUUUCUCUUAUGCUGUUACCUUGUGAGUGAUUUCUCAUAAUUACAGCACAUUUUUGUGAAGACACAUUGCCUGGUCUGUCCUGCCAGACACAGUCCUCAGAGUCUCAGUAGCUGGAGGGCAGCCAGGCAAUAUUUUGCAGCUGCUUUUGAAAAUCCCAGUGGCUCAGACCUCAGUGAUGUUGGACUCAGACAUAACCAGAUGUCGAGAAUUCUUACCAGGCACAUCCUGAGCUUCAAAAUGUUCACAAAUUCUUGUGAAUAAUGGUGCAUCCUAUCUAAAGGGUUCUGCUUUAAUAUCUGUUCUAUCUCCAGUUCAUACUCCCUAUCCCAUACAAGUUUAGAAGGAAAAAAAUUCUGCAAACCAUCUUGUACUCAACUAAAUACAGGCCAAGUCUCAUCCUGGUAUAAGAAUGUUGCUAAAUAAAAGCUGGUUUAAUGUAUAUUUCUAGCUGUUU
ensembl:lncRNA